GAUGAACGCUGGCUACAGGCUUAACACAUGCAAGUCGAGGGGAAACGGCAUUGGGUGCUUGCACCGAAUGGACGUCGACCGGCGCACGGGUGAGUAGCGCGUAUCCAACCUUCCCGUUACUGCGGGAUAACCUGCCGAAAGGCAGACUAAUACCGCAUGUUCUUCGAUGACGGCAUCAGAUUCGAAGCAAAGAUCCGUCGGUAACGGAGGGGGAUGCGUCUGAUUAGCUUGUUGGCGGGGCGACGGCCCACCAAGGCGACGAUCAGUAGGGGUUCUGAGAGGAAGGUCCCCCACAUUGGAACUGAGACACGGUCCAAACUCCUACGGGAGGCAGCAGUGAGGAAUAUUGGUCAAUGGGCGGAAGCCUGAACCAGCCAAGUAGCGUGCAGGAUGACGGCCCUACGGGUUGUAAACUGCUUUUAUGCGGGGAUAAAGUGAGGGACGCGUCCCUUUUUGCAGGUACCGCAUGAAUAAGGACCGGCUAAUUCCGUGCCAGCAGCCGCGGUAAUACGGAAGGUCCGGGCGUUAUCCGGAUUUAUUGGGUUUAAAGGGAGCGUAGGCCGGGGAUUAAGUGUGUUGUGAAAUGUAGGCGCCCAACGUCUGACUUGCAGCGCAUACUGGUUCCCUUGAGUACGCGCAACGCCGGCGGAAUUCGUCGUGUAGCGGUGAAAUGCUUAGAUAUGACGAAGAACCCCGAUUGCGAAGGCAGCCGGCGGGAGCGCAACUGACGCUGAAGCUCGAAGGUGCGGGUAUCGAACAGG
rnacentral:rRNA from 1 species